UACGAAGGGGGCUAGCGUUGCUCGGAAUCACUGGGCGUAAAGCGCACGUAGGCGGAUUGUUAAGUCAGGGGUGAAAUCCUGGAGCUCAACUCCAGAACUGCCUUUGAUACUGGCGAUCUCGAGUCCGGGAGAGGUGAGUGGAACUGCGAGUGUAGAGGUGAAAUUCGUAGAUAUUCGCAAGAACACCAGUGGCGAAGGCGGCUCACUGGUCCGGUACUGACGCUGAGGUGCGAAAGCGUGGGAGCAACAGG
rnacentral:rRNA from 1 species